ACCUCCUGUGAUCAGGAAAAUGAUAGAGUAAUGGUAGUCACGUGAACAACUGUCUUACACGACGCUUGCCUACCACCUUUUAGGGUUGGCUUCAACCCAUACCUAGUUAAUUGGUUAUUGUUGUAGAAUCAUCUGUAGCUGCAGCUGAUGGUGGCGGAGGGAAGUAGUUAUAUCAUAUCAUGUAUAACAAUGCAGACAGCAGACGAAAGGAUAGAAGCUAGCUUAAGCAGCAAGUGAACAUGUUAUUCCCGGUGGUUUUUGUCCCUUUAUCCCUUGGGAUUAAUGCCAAGAGUUGUAGUCUUGAAGCGCUUGCCAAGAAGAAAACGAUGUGAGGCCACAUGGGCUCUUCAUGUUGGGACUUGGGUACCCAACACUAAGCUUCGAUGGUGCCAUCUCUAAGCCAUCAUGAUGGGGGACCCUAUGCUUCUGAUUCCUGUUUUCCAGAACUUGAUGUUUCAAGAAAGAAACUACUGUUCUUGUUUUGACCGCUUUGGGAAGCUGUUUUUGAUUGUGGGUUUUUGUUUUUAAGCGGAUCAGAAAGCUACUGUUUCUGAUACAAAACUUCAACUUGUUGUAGACUAUAGUUUCUAAUCUUGAAGAGUUCUGGAAGUUGCUGCA